AUAAAAAAAAAAAAAACAGAAGUUACCAGAAAAAAAUAUUUUCUUCUUGUUUCGUUUGGAAAUGAACUAAAGCAAAAAAAAAAAAAAAAGUACAAAGAAAGUGAAACCAGAGUGGAAAAAUUGCUAGCUUAUCCUUGUAACAAAUAGUAGUAAUAGUACAGCUGUAAGAACAAAUCAAGUCAAUGAACAUCUUCAUACACCUACUGGACAAAAGCUCAGUUGUUUGAAGCAUUUUCUCAAGCACCUGCAGGACAAAGGUUAAAGCCUGUGUUCCUCAGACUCUUCGGUGCCUGUGAGAUUAAGUAGCGAAUUUUUGAAUAAUUUGGAGCUGAUGCAGCAUUGAAAGUGAAGAAUCAGUACAACUUAGGCUAAAACAAACACCAACAGAAAGCAUAGGAAAAAUAGCAUAGAGAAGGGAAGUAGAGAAUCAAGAACUACGUGCAAACAGAACCAAUAGGACUAAAGGACAGACUGGCGCACUAAAGUGAAGAACCAACAGGACUGGUACUUUUUUUUAUCUCACUGCAGAAAAGAGGAGAUAUUAAGAGAUACAUAAUGCUUUCCUUCUCAAAUAUUCAAGGAACUUUAUGUCAAACUAAACAUAAUAGCUGCAUUGAGUCUCAUUGAUACAAGUCUCGAACUCUUGACCUAGUGUGGAAGAUUUUAAAUCAUUUAAUCUACCACUAAGCUAGAGGAAGACUCUUUGCAGUACCUAGUAAAGUUGUUGCCAUGUGACCGGGAGGUCACAGGUUCAAGCCGUGGAAACAAUCUCUUGAAGAAAUGCAAGGUAAGGCUGCGUACUAUAUAACCUUGUGGUUCGGCCCUCCGGACCCUAGGCAUAUUGGGAGUUUUAGUGCACCGGCUGCCUUUUUUCCCUUUCUAAGCUAGAGGAAGACUCGUAGCUGCCAUAGCUGCAGAUUUGUUGUAAGGGCAAAAUUUGCAACAGUGAUAUUGAUGCGGAUUCUAUAAACUAUCAUGUUGUGGAUUUUUUCAAGUUUAGAGUAUAAUUAUGAAUUGUUGAUUGGACUGUUAGCAA